CCCUCCCCCUCGCUCCGCCCCGACCCUCGGGCCGCUCGCCUCCCCACCGCGCCGCCGCGGUCGCGCCAUCCCACCGAGAUCCCGCCACGCGUGGCACACCUAACGCGCCAAGCCUCCCCACCGGCCGCCGCUCCGCCGUCGACCCGCAGCCGCGGCGCCGCCCCAGUCUCGCCGCGCCUCCGCCCUCGCGCCGAGCCGCCGCCGGGCAUGUCCGUUCGCGCUCGGGCCGCUCGCCUCCCCACCGCACCACGCAGCGGCGCCCCAGUCCGCAUCCCCUGCUACCCAAACAACCACCAUCGCGGCCGCCGCCUCAUUGGCAUCUCCCUCCAGUGCUUCGGAUCUGAGUUUGGCCGCCGCUUCUCGCCGACCGCUCCGUCGCAGGUCUCAAGCCACCGACCACGAGGCCGACGCCACCCUACGGGACGCAGAGCAGGUGCCUUUAUUUUUUUCGCCGAGCCAACAACAAGCGCCGUCAUCAACGUCGUCGUCGUGCGAGGGCGUCGUCUGUUGUACCACCACGUCAACGCCGAGGCCGAGUCCUGACUGUCGCGACCUGUGAGGCUAUGUAUCUGCCUCUCCCUCCAAUGACGAGAUCCUCCGUGGCCUUUCUAGGUGACCCUCCAAUAUCAGUUGGCUUGGCAGGUUGGUAGGAAUCAAGUUACAGCUGAAACACUUUAAUUAGUUUGGCAAAAAGUGAGAGACCGAGCUUCAGUUGUUAUGACGAUGGGUCCUUUUUCAGAGAACCAAAAUACUGGCAAUUGGUGUGUUCUACAAUUUUUCUGCAGGCUGAUGUGUGCUACGAAGAGUGUCUAUAUCUCCCUCUACACCAGGUAAUGUUUGCUUUAUUCUUUCAUUCUGAAUUCUUGCAGAUUAAAUCAAAACAUUAUCUUUUUCGUUUUAUGUUUUGAGUUUUUUUUGGAGGGCUGAAGAGGUACUCUAUGGACCAGGUCGUUGAUAAAAUCAACUGGGAGCUGGUAAUGAUGAACAUAUAACACAAGUACUGGUCCAUUUGAAACAUAGAAAACAAAACCAAAGACAACUAGGGUUAUGGAUAUAGAUACCCUUUUGAAUCCAUCGCAGGUGCGCGCAACAGCUAGAUAUCUCUCAUUCCAAGUGCAGUAGUUUUACUUAGCACACAGAUAGAGUAGGAAUUGAAGCUUUCCUUGGUUGUAUUACUUAGCACACAGAUGGAGGGCGAACUGAAGCUUUUCUAAUAUCUUUCCUCGUUAGAUUUAUUUCACUUUCUCUUCUGUAAUCUUCAGAAAAUGAAAAGCUUGCUACUAUGUGAAAUUGCAAGCAACAAAGCUUAUUCUUCACAGAGAUGGAACUGCAGUACACAUUUGUCUGGUAUCUUUUCUCCCUUUCUUCUUGUGUAUAAUUUUGUUGGGUAUUAUAUACAGUCAUAUAAUUCCUCUCUUCCGAAUCGACAUCACGUACACAGUCAUAUACUUGUAUAUUAUACAUGUAUAUUACUGGCUCACAUGAACAGAGUAUGAGGGAAUUUGUAAUAGUAAUUCUAUAUUAUAUUUUUUAUCUCCCACCUAUGAAAUAAUUGAUAAUACUUCUGUACUUCUACCAUUACUUGUUUUUAGGAUUUUCCCUAUCAAAUAAUGAUGCAAAUUAUGUGUCUUCUGCCUUGGUCUAAAGCAUAUUUCCUGAAUGAAUAUGCUUACCUGAUUUUGUUUAAGUAGUUUUCUCCGAAGUAUUCAUGUGUUAAGUGACAUAAUUAUUUUCAUUUUCUUCGAGGGAGGGCCUUCUGUAACCGGCGCUGCUCCCUUGCUUGCUGUAUUUUUGUGAAAUGGGUUUGUUAUUGUCCCAUGGCGGUGGUCUUUUCUUGCGUGUGUGUUGCAAUCAGUCGCUGAAGUCCCCAUCAUUACUUGCUGCAUUCUACGAACCUGAACCUUAAUAUUGAACGAUCCAAAUGUUGGAGGAUUCAGUUGCGUUUUAGGCAAACUGAAACUCCAUCUAGGUGGACAUAAUGAAAAUUAGAACAAGUGCCCUAUACUUAAUAGUUCAGUUAGUGCUGCCAGGAAAAAAAUAUUGAACCCCAACAAUAGUUGUAGUUAUGCUAUAGCUGAUUUUUUUUUCUUCACUGGAAUGGACAUUGUAGUUCAGGGAUUGUGGUUCAGUGACAGUUGCAUGGUAUUCUUCUGUUAUCUGAAAUUUGAUUCUAUCUUCAGAUUUCUGAAUAUUCAGAUAGCGUUAGUCAUCUUGAUUUGUCGACUGAAUGUAUUUAAGACGAAUUACAAGUUCAGUGAUCAAGAAAUUUCUUUUUAUCAUAUUUUGCUCAAACUCAAAAGGAAACACAAUUUUCAGAGGCUACUAUCAUGCUUUUUUUUCUCUUGAAAAAGGCCACUAACAUGUUCUGAGUAAAGUCUGAAUUUUCGUUCUGCUUUGUACUUUUCAUACAGGCAAUUAUGCCUUUUAAAUCUUCAUUGUAUAGCUAUUAUAUCUCUUCCUUUGCAGUUCCAUUUGCAGGCAUGGAGGACAAGUUGAUUUGCAAGGAGAAUCUUUCUCUUUGGUAAGAACCAGAUUUUCUUCUCCAAUGAGGUCAGUUGUCUGCAAUUACCAGUAUAACAUAUUUGGGAUCAAACAUCGAUAUGGAUAUGUGAUAAAUUUUUUCAUAUUGAUUAUGGGAAUAUUCGCUGAAGUAGAGUUCUUUAUGCAUAUGUGUGCAGCCCUAAUCUGUAUAUCUUCCCCUUAAAAGUAUUGCCAUAGAUUGAGUUUCUUGUUGUCACAUGAUAGAUAGCAGAAUGAAGGAUCUUGCUCCUUUUCUUUUGUAGGAUUUCAAAAUUGAGGCUUGUUUAUUAGUACGAGUCGCUAUUUGUGAAUCUGUUGUGAUGUUUUGGCGGCUUGCUGAAAAGUAAGAGUAUGUCUAGGUUGAUGUUUUAUGUAAUAUUAAAUGUCAAGUGGUAUAUACAGUUGCCAUUUUGUUAUGUACUUGCAAACAUUUUUGAUUAAUUGUUGGGAAUUAGCACAUAAGAUGCGUUUGCAGCACUGCCCAAGACAAAUGAGAUCAAUUUUUAAGUUU